rnacentral:rRNA from 1 species
AAUAGAUACCCGGGUAGUCCACGCCGUAAACGAUGAGUGCUAAGUGUUAGAGGGUUUCCGCCCUUUAGUGCUGCAGCUAACGCAUUAAGCACUCCGCCUGGGGAGUACGGUCGCAAGACUGAAACUCAAAGGAAUUGACGGGGGCCCGCACAAGCGGUGGAGCAUGUGGUUUAAUUCGAAGCAACGCGAAGAACCUUACCAGGUCUUGACAUCCCACUGACCGGUAUAGAGAUAUACCUUUCCCUUCGGGGACAGUGGUGACAGGUGGUGCAUGGUUGUCGUCAGCUCGUGUCGUGAGAUGUUGGGUUAAGUCCCGCAACGAGCGCAACCCUUGAUCUUAGUUGCCAGCAUUUAGUUGGGCACUCUAAGGUGACUGCCGGUGACAAACCGGAGGAAGGUGGGGAUGACGUCAAAUCAUCAUGCCCCUUAUGACCUGGGCUACACACGUGCUACAAUGGAUGGUACAAAGGGCUGCAAGACUGCGAAGUCAAGCCAUCCCAUAAACCAUUCUCAGUUCGGAUUGCAGG